AGUCUGCAGAAUUGCACGCUUGGACUUUGUGACACCUGUCAUUCUGCCACCCAGACAGCCGCGCUGACUUCCUGCUCUGGGGAGCCCAGGCCCGAGGGCUCCCUGCGUGUGUCCUGGGGCGCUGCACAGCCAGGAACGCAGCUCCCACCUGUGGCUGCCUCCCCCAGGAGACGGGGGAGGGGCUGGGAAGCAUCAUGUCUCCAUCCUGGCGGGUCCCCCAGGUGGGAGGGAGAACCAGGCACCAGCUCAGCAGGCAAGGGCAGCAGAGGGUGGUCCCUGGCCUUGCUCUUGAGCCCCGGGACCCAGAGCUGGCGGGGGGUUUCCCUUGCAAGGGACUCUGCACUGGCCGAGCGCGUGAAACUGCGCGGGGUCUUUUUGCCUGAAGGGCCCGAGGUGGAGCCACUCCUCCCCAGGAGCUCAGUGCAGGGACCCGAGCAUCUGCACCAGGGUCUGAGGGGCCAGGGCCGGCUGCUCAGGUGGCAGAGGGUCCUGGUGUCAGGUCUGCCUCCAGGCCGUGGCCACAGCCUAGAGCAAGUUCAGCACCCAGGGUCUGGAUCCUGGCUCUCAGGCGGUCAUCCCGCAGGAAUCUGGGGCCAAGGGCCAGGAGCAUGGGGCAGGAGGGCGGUGCCGGGGCCCCAGGAGCAGCUGCCCCUGACCUGGUACCAGGUCCCUCCUAGGGACCCAGCAGGGCGCAGUAUGUCCAGUGGUGCGAGGGUGGGUGGGACUCUGGUUCCCUCAGGAAUGGUCUGGCCCGGCUGCCCACCCCCAUGGCUGCCCAGAGCUGCCUGUGGGUCGCCUGCCGGGGCAGUUGCUGCAGGGUCCCUGCCGGGGUUCGGGUGGUCCUGGGGGUUCAGGCUGGAGGGGACCUGGGCUCUGGGAUCACACCUGUGUGGGGUUGGUGCCCUGCAGUCCAUGAGACCUGGGCCUCAGGGAGCCCCCUCCCCAGUAGGAAGAGGCCAGGCAUGCUGGGCAGCCUCCAAAGGACGCGGGUCGCACUCCAUGGGCUUGGCCACAGCUGCCCCCUGGCAGGGCCGCGCCCCACCUCACACCUGGCGUGUGUCUGCAUAG
rnacentral:lncRNA from 1 species